GCCUGGGUGGCUCAGUUGGUUGAGCGUCCGACUUCGACUCAGGUCAUGAUCUCAUGGUCUGUGGGUUCGAGCCCUGCAUUGGGCU
rnacentral:tRNA from 1 species